rnacentral:rRNA from 1 species
CCCUUAGAUGUUCUGGGCCGCACGCGUGCUACACUGAGUGGAUCAGCGGGUCAGGUUGCGCGAAAGUGUUUCCUAAUCUUGAAAUCCGCUCGUGAUGGGGAUUGACGGUUGCAAUUUUCCGUCAUGAACGAGGAAUACCUUGUAAGCGCGGGUCAUCAUCCCGCGCUGAAUACGUCCCUGCCCUUUGUACACACCGCCCGUCGCUCCUACCGAUUGAGUGGUCCGGUGAGGCUUUGGGAUCUGAGCGGAAAGAGCGUUUCGCUGUUUCUGCUCGGAAAACUCAGUCGAACCUUAUCAUUUAGAGGAAGGAGAAGUCGUAACU